CCGCGGUCUGAAAGCGGAAGACCCUCCCUCUGACGAAUCCUCAGAAGGUGAAUAGUAACCUAAUUUUACGCAGCAGAGGCCUACGUCACUCGCCUCACUUCCUCUCCUCGGUCGUGGGCGUUUUGUCGUUCGCAUCCUCACAAGGACCAUUUUAUUGCUCAGAUACAUAAUUUCUAUUGGAACAUAAGGAAGUGGACAAGCAGAGUGAAAACUUGAAACUUGAAAGAUAUUUGGCAACCGCUCCCCUAUUCUCAACCAAUAGACUUACAAAUGGAAGCUUUGCAGCAAACGGGAUCUGGCAGGGAAUGAAGAUUAAGAAAAGGGUUAAAUUUAUUUGAAUCCGAGCCCAAGUCCUUCUGGCUCCAAAAUUCAAGGCCUUUCACCAAAGAAACCCAAAAACCUGGCUGACUUGAACUGAAUGAAUCGUACCACCAGAUGGCCACAAGAAACUAAGGCAAGCACUGCUCACAUGUGAGGAAAAAAAGAGGACAAAAAGCUGGUUACCCCUGUGAGUGGCCACAACCUACUCAUCCUCACUACCUGAAUUUCUGAAUAAUACUCAUCUGGGAAUCCAGGGAUGAUGACCCUCUCAAGGUAAGCUCCAUGACCAGUGUGGGGCUCGAACUCACAAUCCCGAGAUCAAGAGUCACGUUCUCUACCAACCGAGCCAGCCAGGACAAAUUAUGCCCUGUUAAAAGUAUCAAGAUUUGUUUCUAAGGAGGAAGGGAAAAAAAAUGGAUGUUGGAGGAAGCAGGUGACAGUCUCUGCGACACUGGCCCUGCCUUUGAUUAUUACCUUGCAACACAGAAAAAGCAGCGAUAAAACACUUUAAUUGAUGACACCUCCAUGGUAUUUGUUACACCUGCUAUAAAAUAAUUAGUUAUUCAACUAUAAUAACUGCUUAUUAAAGUGAAACACAAUAAAUACUAGAAAAUCUGUAAGACAAUUUAGCUACUUAGGAAAGCUAUGGUCUGUUAAGCUACCAAGAGCAAAGAUCUGUCUCUGUUUGUGAUCUGCAGUGUAGUCCCGUGUCAGUUUUUAAUACCCUGUGUUGUGAUACCCUCAGUUCAGUUAUUAGCAAACAGGUGUCCUCAUUAUACCAAAAGUGUAAAUGGCCAUAAACAACUCCCUUGACAGCAGAGAAGCCAAAGACUCCAUUCUCAUGGAGAAUCAACUCUGUCGUGGAGAUGAUCACUCAGCCCCAGCCUGAGUGGGAAAGGUCUGCUUUCCUGUACGUAAUGCCUGCCUGGGGAACAGAUCUCACUUUGGAGACUUCCGUAAGCAUUAAGAUAAAUUCUGUGUACAAUGAAUAAUUCUAAGGCUCCCACCAGCGGCAUCCGCUGGCUGCCGCUGCUGAUGGUGCUUAGCCGGCUGCGGGCAAGAAGUGCGUGCAGGCAGAAGAAGGUGCUGCUGGCCUUCCCUACCAGUAGCUGAGGUAUAAGUGGAGGGAAAACCAUACAUUUUAAUAAACAAGGUAGCCAGCAGACAUUUUGUCUCUGUGUUUCCAAGGAAAUUGGCUUCUGAAAGGGGGAAGGAAAGACUACUUUUGAACUUUUGGGGGGCCCAUCUAGAAGGAGAUUACAUAAUCACAAGAGAAAGCACAAAAGAGGGUCAAGAAAAUUGUUUUCCCUCUGCCUCCGUCUUCUGAAGUCAUGUCACCUGCCCAGCUCACCUACUCUCUGGAUCCCAUACUUUCUGGUUUCUUUCAUGUUCACAAUUUUAUUUUUUUUUUAAUUUUUUUAAUGUUUAUUUAUUUUUGACAGAGAGAGAGAGAGAGACAGAGAGAGAGACAGAACAUGAGUGGGGGAGGGGCAGAGAGAGAAGGAGACACAGAAUCUGAAACAGGCUCCAGGCUCUGAGCUGUCAGCACAGAGCCCGACGCAGGGCUCGAACUCACAGACAGCGAGAGCAUAACCAGAGCCGAAGUUGGACGCUCAACCAACUGAGCCACCCAGGUGCCCCUGUU